GACGAACGCUGGCGGCGUGCUUAACACAUGCAAGUCGAACGAGAGGACAAGAGAAGCUUGCUUCUUUUGGGAUCGAGUGGCAAACGGGUGAGUAACACGUAAACAACCUGCCUUCAGGAUGGGGACAACAGCUGGAAACGGCUGCUAAUACCGAAUGUUGUAUCUCCUCCGCAUGGAAGAGAUAUUAAAGAUGGCCUCUACUUGUAAGCUAUCGCUUUGCGAUGGGUCUGCGUCUCGAUUAGCUAGUUGGUGGGGCAACGGCCUACCAAGGCGACGAUCAGUAGCCGGUCUGAGAGGAUGAACGGCCACAUUGGAACUGAGACACGGUCCAGACUCCUACGGGAGGCAGCAGUGGGGAAUCUUCCGCAAUGGGCGAAAGCCUGACGGAGCAACGCCGCGUGAGUGAAGAAGGUCUUCGGAUCGUAAAGCUCUGUUGUCGGGGACGAAUGUUGAGACCUAGAACAUAGGUUUCAAAUGACGGU
rnacentral:rRNA from 1 species